UACAGAGGUCCCAAGCGUUGUUCGGAUUCACUGGGCGUAAAGGGUGCGUAGGCGGUCGGGUAAGUCUGAUGUGAAAUCUCACAGCUUAACUGUGAAACUGCAUUGGAUACUAUCCGACUCGAGGAAUGGAGGGGAGACUGGAAUUCUCGGUGUAGCAGUGAAAUGCGUAGAUAUCGAGAGGAACACCAGUGGCGAAGGCGAGUCUCUGGACAUUUCCUGACGCUGAGGCACGAAAGCCUGGGGAGCAAACGGG
rnacentral:rRNA from 1 species